rnacentral:SRP_RNA from 1 species
GCUGGGUGUGGUGGCGCACGCCUGUAAUCCCAGCUACUUGGGAGGCUGAGGCAGGAGAAUUGCUUGAACCCGGGAGGCGAAGGUCGCAGUGAGCCGAGAUCGCGCCACUGCACUCCAGCCUGGGUGACAGAGCAAGAUCCUGUCUCAA